CCAAGUCCCAUAGCUACCUGCUUUGGGAUUGUAUUAAGGUGUCCACGAGGCAGUAGCCAGUCUAAGGGGCUAAGAGCAAGACCCACAGGAAACAGUGGAAAGAUGGAACACCUCAAUCCGGGAUGGGUCAGGAGGGACCUGAGGACCAUCUGUUGCUCUUAGCCUGCACACCCGCUGUUUCAUUCUGGACUUGGGGUUGAGAAAGCAGAAUUCUAGUCUCUACUUUACUUCUAACUUACUGGACAAGACAGGUCAUUUUUCUUCUGAGUCUCAGUUUCCCCAUUUCUUAAAUUGGGAAUGGAGUGGGACGAGAGGGGCAGUCACAGUCACACCUCAUAUCUGUAACACCUUCACAGUUCAUGCACAUUGUCACUUUUCCUCAUAAAAUCAAAAGACACAUAUUACUAAUCCCAUUUCAUAGGUGGCUAGUAAAGGUCAGAGAUGGCACUUGCCCUGAGGUCUCUUUCCAUGCUAAGAUCCUUCCAAUAGUAAAGCCCUGUGGUUCUCCUACUACCGUUUAAUCGAGUAUUCCUGAGCCCCUACUGUGUGCAGGAGCAGGGGUACAAAGGGGCUUCAACAUGGUGUAGAGUCAUUUGUUUGCAUGUCCCACCUGCCCCACUAGCUUGUCAUCUCCUUGAGAGCAACCCAGGCCAGCCUUUUCACUGCGUCCCUCAAACCAGAACCGUGCCUUAUCCUCUGGAUAAACAACAAACAAAGAUACAAUAACAAGCCACAUGCAACAAGUAUGUGUUGAGAAUCCAGCCUGGAGCCAGAACUUGGCUUGGGCUUUCGAGAAGGCUUCUUGGGCUCUUUUGUUUACUGUGAGAGCACUGUUUUUUUCCCCCCUUCUUAGCUCCAGAGACGCUUUCAGCCUCGUGAGGUGCAAUCAUCAAUCAACAUUUACUCUCCAGAUACUGCCCAGUGCCAGACCCAACAGGAUGCACUUUAUCAACCUCUUAAUUUAGUUUAUGUUUCAGGCAGGAGUCAUACGAGGAAUCUAUUAAAUUCCUGCUACUGCUUCUUUUUGGAAAAACAACUUUCAAUUAAAAACGUAGAAAGGCCUGUUCAGGAGACCAAAAGAUCGGUGAGAACAAUGCUUGAUGAAAACAGAAGUAGUCACAGGGAAUGGGGCUCUGUUCAAGCCUCGUGGCUUAGAGACAGACAGCACCUGGUGAUGAGACACACGUGGGUUCUGGAAUGCAGUGGCCAGCGUUUGAAUCCUGACCUUCUCGCUCAUUAAAACUCACGCCGACACUUAACCUCCACUUCUUCCGUAACUGGAGCUGAGAGUAUUCCCAGAGAAAUUCCCACUAGCGCCCUUGGCCACAGACACACGUUGAGAUGACUGUGAGGACCGCCCCCACUUGGACUGUGAUGGCCACUAGCCAGAAAUGCGCAUUAAUAAGGAAAGAACUAAAGAGCUGAUAAAAUAUGGGAUCUGGAAAUGAAGGGAAAGUCCACAUCAUCAAGAAGAAUGAGCUUCCCGGAAGGAUUUUAGUUGACGUUUAGCUGAAAAAGCAGCUGAAUGUGAUGCUGAUCAAUUCAAAAUGUAUGUAAAAUAAAUAUUCAAGGGAAGGUAUUUCUAUGGGUGAAAGGGAUGGGAAGGGCUUCGAGGAGGAGAAGGUCAAAAGCAAAAUAACAAUAAAAGCCAAAGAGGUCUCACGGGUGGUGCUAGAAGUCCAAAGCUGAGGUGUGUGAUCCAUCUGGUUCUCUGCAUCCCCUGUGUAAGAAAGUGAAAUAGGGUCAGUGUCAUAGAGCAGAUGUGAGGACUGCGUGAGAUAAUGUGUGGAAAACCCCAGGACAGGCCUCACACAAAUGCCCAGUGAACAUUUACAGCUGCUCUAUGUUUCCUAACGUUACGUAUGCUUUGCUUAGCCACUUCCUGGCGAUGUAUCAGGAGGCAAUUGAACCUCACAAAUCAAUGGUGAACAAAUCAGGGCGUGGGACAGUGAGCUGUGGGCCUCAUCUGUUGGGUAUUGAUUCCUUUUGACGUUACUUUUAUGAAGUAGGAGUUCAAAGACCCAGACGUUACAGCGAUGAGACAAGAG